CCUGCCCUAGCAGGACAGAGGAAGGAGGCGACAUGGGAGCAAGGUUGAGUAAUGAUGGAGAAAGUUGCAGUUGAUGGGAAAAAAUACAUCUUCAUAACAGGGCACUGCUGUUGUUGAUGACGAUGAACUGAGACCUCCCAUUCUUCAGAUAGAAGAAAUGAGACAAAAGGUGGAGAACUCCACGACAAAAAAAUCGAUUUCCUGGGCAAGAAUGGCAAGGCAAUCAAUGGUAAUGGAUGACUCAAGGCUCACUCCCGAACACCCCAAGUCACAGCCAUUCAGAAGCCUCACUGGAGCAGACAUCAACUCAAGAUGGCUGGAAGGAAGCUGUCCUUCGCUCUGCUCCCAACUGCUCUGGCUCCUUCAUCCAAGGCUGAAUCCAGGAACUGGGGAUUUGCAAACAUUUUCAUUUGUAAGAAGAGGGACAAUGAAACCAACAAGAGAGUAGACACCAAAAACAGUGGGGUUCAUUUCCACUGGCCAGCUGGGUAGUGUGGCCUAAUCUAGACCUUAGUUUACCCAGAUGGCCAUCAGUCUUGAUGAUCCCCCCUCCCCAUGAAAAUUAUCCUGAUUCUCGAUUAAUUAAUGAGUGCACCACAAGGACUUGGGACCUGUAGAUGAAAACAGUUGUGUAAGUGCAGUUAUUACUGGAGCUCAGUGAACUGUUUGUCUCUCAGUUAGAAUUAUUUUUGAGAAUCGCACUGGGAGAAAAAGCCAAUAAGAAGGGAUAAGACACAGCUGCAGCAGGAACCCCUAAGAUGCUUCCACUUCUGCUCCAGCCGAGUCGCUUCAAACCUUGACAUUUGAAUAUCCUUUUAGCAUUUGCUUCCCUCUAUGGUAUAAACAGAAUAUGUGAUGAGCACCUGUGGGAUAGGGAAUGGAUCUCAUAGGGCGACGAGGAAGAGGAAAGAGAACAAAAGAGGCUUUUUGCUCCUUACUCCAAGUUUGGUGUGGCUUUCUAGACAAACACAGAAUUAAUAGCACACAGGAUGUUGCAUACUGGGGUCUAGGCACAAAGCGCUUGUUUAAAAAGGAUUUCCCACGUGACAAUAGUCGCAUAGCUAGAACUGAAAACACCGUAAAUGUACCUGGGACCAUAGGUGUGAUUUCUGGGUGCCAUUCCAAAGAAAAGUAGGCAGUGGACUGGUCUGUUUCACCUGUGGCUGGAGAUCAAUUUCACAUGCUUGUCCCUGGAAAUUCUUAUCAGUUGUUUUGUUUGGGAUUCUCCAUGUUGACCCAAGCCUCUGCUUUGACAAUUUUUCUGCUUUUCAUCUUUCAAAAUCCUCCUCAAAAUGGUUUCUUCAGGGAAGAUUUCCCUCAAGCUCACCCUGACCAAAACAUCACCCAGAAUGGAGAAAGGGGGUGUGGCAGUAACCUUGUCAUGUAGAUGCCUCCUGGGGCUCUCAGUUGCUGAAAACCUUAUUUUGAUGAUGGGGCUGCCUGUGUCUUAUAUUCUGGUACUUCUCAAUGACUGUCAAAGGCCAUAAAAUAAAUGUCAAAUUCAACCAA